rnacentral:rRNA from 1 species
CUGCAGUCGAACGGAAAGGCCCUUCGGGGUACUCGAGUGGCGAACGGGUGAGUAACACGUGGGUGAUCUGCCCUGCACUUUGGGAUAAGCCUGGGAAACUGGGUCUAAUACCGAAUAUGACUGCGCACUUCCUGGUGUGUGGUGGAAAGCUUUUGCGGUGUGGGAUGGGCCCGCGGCCUAUCAGCUUGUUGGUGGGGUAAUGGCCUACCAAGGCGACGACGGGUAGCCGGCCUGAGAGGGUGACCGGCCACACUGGGACUGAGAUACGGCCCAGACUCCUACGGGAGGCAGCAGUGGGGAAUAUUGCACAAUGGGCGCAAGCCUGAUGCAGCGACGCCGCGUGAGGGAUGACGGCCUUCGGGUUGUAAACCUCUUUCAAUAGGGACGAAGCGCAAGUGACGGUACCUAUAGAAGAAGGACCGGCCAACUACGUGCCAGCAGCCGCGGUAAUACGUAGGGUCCGAGCGUUGUCCGGAAUUACUGGGCGUAAAGAGCUCGUAGGUGGUUUGUCGCGUUGUUCGUGAAAACUCACAACUCAAUUGUGGGCGUGCGGGCGAUACGGGCAGACUAGAGUACUGCAGGGGAGACUGGAAUUCCUGGUGUAGCGGUGGAAUGCGCAGAUAUCAGGAGGAACACCGGUGGCGAAGGCGGGUCUCUGGGCAGUAACUGACGCUGAGGAGCGAAAGCGUGGGGAGCGAACAGGAUUAGAUACCCUGGUAGUCCACGCCGUAAACGGUGGGUACUAGGUGUGGGUUCCUUCCUUGGGAUCCGUGCCGUAGCUAACGCAUUAAGUACCCCGCCUGGGGAGUACGGCCGCAAGGCU